GCGAGUCCUCGGCUGACCUCGGAAGGGUUGCUUUGCAGUGCAGCAGAGUGAGGCCCCCUGACUUCAUCGCGGGAGACUUUGGUGGGGGCGCCUCAGGAUCUCCAUAGCAUGGGGGAGGUUCCCUGAACAGGUGGCGUCCUGACCUCCCGCGGGAGCGUCCCGCGCUCUCCCCAUCUCUUGGUCCUUGGUGGGCUCCUUUACUUCUUUAUCUCCCUCCCCGCGAUGCCCGACUCCCAGCAGGAGUAUAGGUAGGCCCUAAGGGUUGACAUUCAAUCUGUGAAGGCUUCUCUUUUUUAUUUUGCCUUGAAGUAUCCUUUUUGUUAUCAAAGUUAUAUACGCCUAUUAUGCCAUAAUUGAAAGAGCAUAAAAUAUUGCUAGUAAUACUUGCAGACUCUCCUGUCUGCAUAUUUUAUAAAGUCCCAGGAAGAACGCACUGAAUGUGUGAUCUCUCUCUACGCAGUGCCAUCCUUCAUUGGGGUGGGGGUCAGCUAUUAUCCUGAGGAAUGUUAUUUUUCUAAUGAAUACAGCCAGCAGCAAAGGAGAUCCAAGAUGAAAACAAUAUUCCGAGGGAAAACAUAAAAAAAAAAGGAAAUACAGUUAUGAAAUGGGGAAAGGAGAGAACUAGAAUAAGAGAUCAGUAUGAAUUUAACACUAUUUUACUUUGUCAAGAUUUAUUUAUCUGUUCUAAUAAGUGAAUUUAUGUUUUUUAAAAAUAUGUUUUCUACCUCUGCAAAGAUAUUCCAGAAACAAGAAAGCCCAGAUCCUGGCUUCUAAGUUUCAUUUUCCACUAAAAGCAAGCAGAUUCUUUGAGGAGUGGCUGAUCCCACGGCUGAGACUGGGAAGUGCAAGUCAAGCCUGCAACAUCUGAUUGCACCAGGAAUUAAAGAGCUUAAUGCCAGGCAUGGUGGGCAUGCCUUGUAAUCCUAGAGACUCUGGAGGCUGAGUCAGGAGGAUCACAAGUUCUAGGUCAGCUCUGUUAACUUAGUAAGACCCUUUCUCAAAACAAAAAUUAAAAAGGGCUGGAGAUAUAGCUCAGUCAUAGAGCACCCUAGUAUUCCAUCCCAAGUACCGCAAAUAAAUAAAUAAAUAAAGGGGAUCUCAAAAAAUGAUGAGGAUGUUCCAAAAGAGCACGACAGCCAGCUCAAAGAAGCUCCCU
rnacentral:lncRNA from 1 species